ACCAGAUUUCAUCAGGUGUCACUGCAACUAAGGAACAGCAUUUCAUUGCCUGGAGAAAGGCAUACAGCCACCGAUGAGGAGCAAAGAGCAAACUUUACUCAAAGCAUAACAUCCCUUACAUUGCAGUCUUCCAGCAAGGCAUCACCUGCACUAUCACCUGGAGUUGAAUUUAUUCUAAUGUGCUUGAUGUUAAACAUACCUUAUGACGGUACAUUUUGUUUGUUGAUAGUGUAACAAAGCCAAAGUAGGCUUUAGGAGCAACAAUAAAAAAUAAAAGUCAAUA